UACAGAGGUGGCAAGCGUUGUUCGGAAUUACUGGGCGUAAAGGGCGCGUAGGCGGCCUGUUAAGUCGAACGUGAAAUCCCCGGGCUCAACCCGGGAACUGCGUCCGAUACUGGCAGGCUUGAAUCCGGGAGAGGGAUGCGGAAUUCCAGGUGUAGCGGUGAAAUGCGUAGAUAUCAAGAGGAACACCUGCGGCGAAGGCGGGUUGCUGGGCCGACACGUGACGCUGAGGCGCGAAAGCUAGGGGAGCGAACGGG
rnacentral:rRNA from 1 species